AAGGGAUUAGCUGAGUUGGUUCUAGCGGUAAUUUUACACAUUACAGACAGAGUUUCGAGUACUCUAUCCCUUA
rnacentral:tRNA from 1 species